GGUGCAGGGCACUCUCAGGCCUGCCCUGUAUGGAGGCUGAUCCGCUGUUGGAUCCUCCCUCUCAGAAGCUGCCAAUUGAGGAGGACAUUCACGUUAACUGUACAAGAAUAGUAAGAACAGCUGGACUGCACUGAGGACCUGCUAUGUGCUAGGCACGUGCUGAGUAAUCUCACAUGUGUUUCUCCUGUAAGUGUCAUGAGAACAAUGGCAUGGACUGUAUGAUCCCCAUUCUACAGACGAAGAGGCUGAGGCUCAGAGAGGUCAAAUAAACUGCCCAAGGUCACAUGUCCGGUUAGUGGCAGAGCCGGGAGGCAAAUCCGUGCCUCCACAGCCCACCCUCAACACCAUGUGUUUUGUGCUGAAAGAGCACCCAGGGCAUGAAAGUGGAGUCCCCCUUGCUGUGGCCACCUAGGCCGGGCUGUGGAUGGGCUGGCGAGAGGUGUCUGUGGUCAGCGGAACAGGGCCUGUUUGAGGCUGGCUGGGUGGGCGAGUGGGAGCCCGCUCUUCAUGCAUGUUUGGUGCCCUGUCCCUCCCAGAAAGCUAAGCUUUCCAGCUUUGUGUCCACUCACAUGUCUGUGUACGAAUGUGCAGAAGAAAGGAUGUGGGAUAUCUGCUUUGAUUUGGUCCUUGCAGAAACACAGCUAGAACCUUCCUUUUUCCAUGGAGGUGUAGUGGACAUACUCAAGUUCCAGGGAUACCACGCAGAGAUUCCACGCAUGAGUGAAAUCGCACGGUCUCUUUCUCCGGCGAGUUUAGCUCAGCACCGUGGCCUUGGGCCCACGUGGUCGCGGCUGGCUCGGCCCCGUCCUUCCUCCUCUCUCUGGUGACAGCCAAUUUCGCAGGGGCGUGUCCGCUGGCGGGCCGCCCGCAUCAGCGGAGGGCGCCCGGUACAGGUGCUGCAGGUGCGCGGAGCGCGAGCUUCCCGCCGGCUUGUGCCGAGACUGCUGGACUACAAGUCCCAGGCUGCCUUGCGCGCCCGCGGGCCGUGCGCAGCGGCGGGGCGGGGCUCGCGGGGGCGGCGCGGGGGCGGCGCGCGGGCGGGCGGGCGGGGGCGCGCGGGGUCCGGGCGGCGGCGGGGCGGCGGGGCGGCGGCGAUGCCGGGGCCCGGGGCGCGGGCCGAAGAGGAGGAGCGGGAGG
rnacentral:lncRNA from 12 species